rnacentral:tmRNA from 16 species
GGGGGCGAAUAUGGUUUCGACAUGAAUGUCAAAAUCUAAGGUGCAUGCCGAGGAAGUACCGUAACCUCGUUAAUAACAGUACAAAUGCCAAUAAUAACUGGCAACAAAAAAGCAAACCGCGUAGCGGCUAACGACAGCAAUUUUGCUGCUGUUGCUAAAGCUGCCUAGUCUAGCUUAAUAACCUAGAUGCGCACGGAUAUGAUAGUCUUUCUUAUGACACUAUCUAUACAUCCGUUCAUAUUCCGCAUAAGACGGUCUUUGCUUUUUGUCUGGGAGUUAAGGCUGUAUUUAACAGACUCGCUAACUAUUACCCUGGCUAAUUGGGGAAUAGCU